CGGCGGGCCAACAUGUUGAGGUGUGACUUUUACCGCUGGCAUGGCUCAGUGAAAAAAUUCCGGGACAGGUAUGUCACAGGUACCAGACUCUGUCGAAGGCACGCGCUUCUUAUUCACUUGUUUACCCAAAAAAAAUGCGGGACGCUGUACGGGAGAGUCAGAGUGACUAUCGCGAAUUUUUGUUGAACAGACGGGAUGUCACCAGAAAUAAGUUUUUUUCCAACGUCGUUGUUGACAGAGGGGCUGUUUUUUGGCAAUGGGAUCGUGAUAACGUGAAACACAAUGGAAUGGUUAUCGGAAAACUACAUUAAUCGCUUUUCUUUGUAGUUUAAUUUUUAACAAUAAAUUUGUGUCAAUUUCGUCAAAACACAAUUGUAUUGGAUAAUCUGCAAGACAACAAUAGCUAAUGGCUGUACUGUACUUUUAGUUUCAAGUGACGACAAUGUGCAAAAUCUAAAGAAUGCACAAAAUCUGGUCUGGAUUACUAGAAGAGGUAAAAAUGGGACGUGUCAAUAUACAGAAGCGAAGUAGUGUUAUUAGGUAUUCUCAGUAAUAUAGUAAAUGGAUUAAAUUUUUA